rnacentral:misc_RNA from 1 species
GAUGAAGAACGUAGCGAAAUGCGAUAAGUAGUGUGAAUUGCAGAAUUCAGUGAAUCAUCGAAUCUUUGAACGCUCAUUGCGCCCCUUGGUAUUCCAUGGGGCAUGCCUGUUCGAGCGUCAUUUGUACCUUCAAGCUUUGCUUGGUGUUGGGUGUUUGUCUCGCCUUUGCGUGUAGACUCGCCUUAAAAUAAUUGGCAGCCGGCGUAUUGAUUUCGGAGCGCAGUACAUCUCGCGCUUUGCACUCAUAACGACAGCGUCCAAAAGUACAUUUUACACUCUUGACCUCGGAUCAGGUAGGGAUACCCGCUGAACUUAAGCAUAUCAAAAGCGGAGGA